rnacentral:rRNA from 1 species
UUGAAUUGUAUUGUGGAAAUGUAUUACCAACAGAGGUGCAGGUGCCAGCCUAUUGAAAUAAAGCGUCAAUGAGGGUGAGAAUCCUGUUUGUCAUGUGCAGCCCUUUGUGCACGGUGUAUAUUUGCUGAGUCACACUCCUUGGCAUUGGAAUGCAAAGUGGGUGGUAAGUUUCAUGUAAAGGUAAACAUGCAAUUGAGACUGAUAGCACACAAGUACCAUGAGGGAAAUAUGAAAAGGACUUUGAAAAGAGAAUUAAAUGAGUUUGUAUUUGCUGAACACAAAGUAAACAGACUUGAUUUGCUUGGUGGGAGUGUUGCACUUGCUUGACAAGAGCUUUGGGCUGUGGGUGUAAUGAUUCUUUCUUUGCAUGCCAGUUUCUAUUUGUACAUCUGAUUACCUUUGCACAUGAAUGAUAAGUCUCCUGUGGGGGGUGGAUUGCAUGUGCAUGUAAUGAUUUGUGUUUUGAUAAAUGUGUCUGGUGUAUGUGUGUGUGUUCCUGUGCUUGGGGAUGCUUCCUUCCUUGGACUUACAAGCCCUGACACACACAUGCUGGCAAAAUGCUUCUGCUUGACCCGUCUUGAAACACGGACCAAGGAGUCUAACAGAUGUGCAAAGUUUGAAGGUGGUAUACCUUUGUGUGCAAUGAAAGUGUCAGCUGGGAUAUGUGCCCCCGCCCCCCAUUAAUUAGCGGACAGAGGUUUGAAUUGGAAGCAUAUCUAUUAGGACCCCAAAAAAGGGGAACUAUGCCUGAACAGAAUGAAUUCCAA